rnacentral:rRNA from 1 species
CGGCGAGUGAAGCGGCAACAGCUCAAAUUUGAAAGCUAGCCUUCGGGUUCGCAUUGUAAUUUGUAGAGGAUGAUUUGGGGAAGCCGCCUGUCUAAGUUCCUUGGAACAGGACGUCAUAGAGGGUGAGAAUCCCGUAUGUGACAGGAAAUGGCACCCUAUGUAAAUCUCCUUCGACGAGUCGAGUUGUUUGGGAAUGCAGCUCUAAAUGGGAGGUAAAUUUCUUCUAAAGCUAAAUAUUGGCGAGAGACCGAUAGCGCACAAGUAGAGUGAUCGAAAGAUGAAAAGCACUUUGGAAAGAGAGUUAAAAAGCACGUGAAAUUGUUGAAAGGGAAGCGCUUGCAAUCAGACUUGUUUAAACUGUUCGGCCGGUCUUCUGACCGGUUUACUCAGUUUGGACAGGCCAGCAUCAGUUUCGGCGGCCGGAUAAAGGCUCUGGGAAUGUGGCCUCCACUUCGGUGGAGGUGUUAUAGCCCAGGGUGUAAUACGGCCAGCCGGGACUGA